rnacentral:rRNA from 1 species
AUUAAACGCUGGCGGCAUGCCUUACACAUGCAAGUCGAACGGCAGCACGGGGGCAACCCUGGUGGCGAGUGGCGGACGGGUGAGUAAAGCAUCGGAACGUAUCCUGGAGUGGGGGGAUAACGUAGCGAAAGUUACGCUAAUACCGCAUAUUCUGUGAGCAGGAAAGCAGGGGAUCGCAAGACCUUGCGCUCUGGGAGCGGCCGAUGUCGGAUUAGCUAGUUGGUGGGGUAAAGGCCUACCAAGGCGACGAUCCGUAGCGGGUCUGAGAGGAUGAUCCGCCACACUGGGACUGAGACACGGCCCAGACUCCUACGGGAGGCAGCAGUGGGGAAUUUUGGACAAUGGGCGAAGCCUGAUCCAGCCAUGCCGCGUGAGUGAAGAAGGCCUCGGGUU